UGCGUAGGCGGGCUAAUAAGUCAGUGGUGGAAUCUCUCGGCUCAACCGGGAAACUGCCAUUGAUACUGUUAGUCUUGAGUUCGGUUGAGGUAGGCGGAAUGUAUAAUGUAGCGGUGAAAUGCUUAGAUAUUACACAGAACACCAAUUGCGUAGGCAGCUUACUAGACCGACACUGACGCUGAGGCACGAAAGCGUGGGGAGCAAACAGGAUUAGAUACCCUGGUAGUCC
rnacentral:rRNA from 1 species